GCCCUCUGCAGCAAUGAUCCAGAGCACUAAUCUGUCUGAGAAACUGCUGGUAGGUUGCCCUUGCCACCAGAGGACACUGUGGCAGCUUUGGAUGUAGUACCUCCCACCUUAUAAAUAGAGGCCAGGAUGAGGGCCUUCUCCUUCUUUGUCCACAAACAUUUGAUGGUUUGCCAUGUGUCUGUUGUUGCAUCCUCACUAACCAUGAGAACCAUCAUAUGCAACAUUGGCGACUUAGAGGACAAAUAAAACAGAAAUUGACUGCAAAGCUGGUUCCUACACUGUCCAAAUCUUUGCCAAUUUAUUUUAAAGUCCAUUCAUGUCAGAUGUGAUACAAAUUUAAUUGUUUAUUACAAAGCAUCUUCCCUAUAUUCAGCCAAUGAGAGCAGCUCAUUCAGAUACAAUGCUCUCUGAUACACAACGGCCCACAGUCCCGGCCUGUGGAAAAGUGAGUGCAUGUGCAGGGUCGAGCCUCUGACAGGCCCAGACUGUUUAUGUUAACAAUAAUGUCAAAGAACAAUUAAGAGACUUAAAAUACAGAAUUAUUUACAGGUCGCUUAGAGGAGGAAUUGUUGUAAUGAUCACUUAAAUGUUUGAGAUAUUAGUUAUAAAUACUGGCACACAGUUACCACCAACCCUGAGCAGAUGAUAAAAAUUCAGUCUGAGUGCGGCUAUGACUCAUGAAAAUAAAUUCAAGUUAAGCCAUUAAAGAAAGAUGUUCUGUAACAAUGAAUACAGGAUGAAAUACAAUACACUAACACUAAGGUUAAGUCACUGUGAUUUAAUGCUUCAGUUAAUGCAGGGGGAAUUAUACAUUACUGUUGCUCACUGUUUAAAAAUAAUCAGUCAGCACAAGUUUAUGUAACCAGCUAAUAAUCCGAAUGGAUAUUCACACAACAUGAGAUCAUUUCUAUGCAGCUAUAUUCUCCUGAAUCCAGAAACAGACUUUCAUUCAGGUUCAGGACAUUGAUCAGCCUUCAAAAGUUUUCUCUCAGAAACAUGGAUGACUUGAUCACAGGCUUUCCAAGUUCAGAGGUCAACAAACACAAGAAGCAUUAAGAUUCAUAGCGAAGACUACAUGUGUUGGUGGCCUGGGAUGCAUAUAUCUCUAUUAUCUCCAGUCUGUGUUCACGUAUGUGUCCGAGGUCACAUUAAAGGGCAGCCUAUAGAUGCCACUGAUUGACAGAC